UAGCUCAGUUGGUAGAGUGCUUGCCUUACAAGCACAAGGUCCUGGGUUCAAUCCCCAG
rnacentral:tRNA from 1 species